rnacentral:rRNA from 1 species
GUCCAUGCCGUAAACGAUGUCUACUAGCCGUUGGGGUCUUUGAGACUUUAGUGGCGCAGCUAACGCGAUAAGUAGACCGCCUGGGGAGUACGGUCGCAAGACUAAAACUCAAAUGAAUUGACGGGGGCCCGCACAAGCGGUGGAGCAUGUGGUUUAAUUCGAUGCAACGCGAAGAACCUUACCUGGUCUUGACAUAGUAAGAACUUUCCAGAGAUGGAUUGGUGCCUUCGGGAGCUUACAUACAGGUGCUGCAUGGCUGUCGU